AUUGAACGCUGGCGGCAGGCCUAACACAUGCAAGUCGAGCGGAUGAAGGGAGCUUGCUCCUGGAUUCAGCGGCGGACGGGUGAGUAAUGCCUGGGAAUCUGCCUGGUAGUGGGGGAUAACGUCCGGAAACGGGCGCUAAUACCGCAUCCGUCCUGAGGGAGAAAGUGGGGGAUCUUCGGACCUCACGCUAUCAGAUGAGCCUAGGUCGGAUUAGCUAGUUGGUGGGGUAAAGGCCUACCAAGGCGACGAUCCGUAACUGAUCUGAGAGGAUGAUCAGUCACACUGGAACUGAGACACGGUCCAGACUCCUACGGGAGGCAGCAGUGGGGAAUAUUGGACAAUGGGCGAAAGCCUGAUCCAGCCAUGCCGCGUGUGUGAAGAAGGUCUUCGGAUUGUAAAGCACUUUAAGUUGGGAGGAAGGGCAGUAAGUUAAUACCUUGCUGUUUUGACGUUACCAACAGAAUAAGCACCGGCUAACUUCGUG
rnacentral:rRNA from 1 species